AUUUUAAAAAUACAUCAUAAGUUUAAUAACCGCAAUCGGCUGAAGAGGACUUUAAUUGAUCCUAUAAUGCCCUGAGGAAGAGGGCUUUUAGUCGGUAGGUCCGAGGACACCUUCCUUGGGAAUCCGACACUACCCAAUCGUAAGGACGACUGGGUGUCUUUCGAAGAUUUCCCCACUUCCACGAAA
rfam:Agrilus planipennis Contig16885, whole genome shotgun sequence.